ACGAAUUUUAAUCAAAGUUCUAUAAUAAGAAACAAUGGUUUAUUCAUAUUAAUUGGUCAGUCACGCCGUGUGAACAAGAGAUAAACAUAGAAAUGUUGUUGAGAUUAUUAAUUAUUUGCAUUGCUAUAUUAUAUGUUCCAAACACAAAUGGACGUAGAUUGCCACACAGCUAUAGAAAGAGAAGUCUAAAUAUGCUGAGUCGCGCGCUACAACUGCAUAAUCAUUACUACCACGUGGAUUCCUACGAGAACCAUCAGGUUCGAAGGAAAUAUGAGCAUGAAAACGAGGAUUUAAUCAACAAUAUAUUCGACAAUGAUGGCGCUGCAUACAUUACCAAGCCUAAGUUGGACGCAGAAAGAGUUAUUAAUAAUCUGUUGAACGAUAUCAUAGAGUUAAAGGUUAAUCAAAUUGACAGACAAAAUGGCGGCUAUAUAAGUGACGAUUAAACAAUUAUUUACAAUUGAAUUUUAAAUUACUGCA